CCUACGGGAGGCAGCAGUGGGGAAUAUUGCACAAUGGGGGAAACCCUGAUGCAGCGACGCCGCGUGAGUGAAGAAGUAUUUCGGUACGUAAAGCUCUAUCAGCAGGGAAGAAAAUGACGGUACCUGACUAAGAAGCCCCGGCUAACUACGUGCCAGCAGCCGCGGUAAUACGUAGGGGGCAAGCGUUAUCCGGAUUUACUGGGUGUAAAGGGAGCGUAGACGGCAGCGCAGGUCUGGAGUGAAAUCCCAUGGCUUAACCAUGGAACUGCUUUGGAAACUGUGCAGCUAGAGUGCAGGAGAGGUAAGCGGAAUUCCUAGUGUAGCGGUGAAAUGCGUAGAUAUUAGGAGGAACACCAGUGGCGAAGGCGGCUUACUGGACUGUAACUGACGUUGAGGCUCGAAAGCGUGGGGAGCAAACAGGAUUAGAUACCCGAGUAGUC
rnacentral:rRNA from 1 species